rnacentral:rRNA from 1 species
ACGGGGCCCGCACAAGCGGUGGAGCAUGUGGUUUAAUUCGAUGCAACGCGAAGAACCUUACCUGGGCUUGACAUCCCGAGAAUCCCCUGGAAACAGGGGAGUGCCUUUCGGGGAACUCGGAGACAGGUGCUGCAUGGCUGUCGUCAGCUCGUGUCGUGAGAUGUUGGGUUAAGUCCCGCAACGAGCGCAACCCUUGUCUUUAAUUGCCAGCAUUCAGUUGGGCACUUUAAAGAGACUGCCGGUGUUAAGCCGGAGGAAGGUGGGGAUGACGUCAAGUCCUCAUGGCCUUUAUGCCCAGGGCUACACACGUGCUACAAUGGGUGGUACAAAGAGAUGCCAACUCGCGAGAGCGCGCCAAUCUCAGAAAGCCAUCCUCAGUUCGGAUUGGAGUCUGCAACUCGACUCCAUGAAGUUGGAAUCGCUAGUAAUCGCGGAUCAGCACGCCGCGGUGAAUACGUUCCCGGGCCUU